UGUUUUUAGUACAGUACGAGAAGUAUUCAUUUUAAAGUGAUUAAAUCUUAGUUUUUUUGUUACAUGCAAAUAGCAAUUAAUUAAUAUGGACGAAAUUCUCAAGUUUGUUUAUGCUCUAAUUAUAUUUGUUUCCUUAUUUCUUGCCGCAAAUAACGUUGAUGCAAACAUUACUAAUUGUCAGUCUACAUUUGAUUGUCCAAGGGAUAUGUGCUCGCAUAUUCGUGAUGUGAUUUGCAUUUUUAAAAAAUGUAAAUGUGCUGGUGGUCGUUACAUGCCACAAGUUCCAUGAACACCAGUCCAAGAGAGUACACGAACAUCCAUAAAGAAAAAACAAUUUCUCUUAGUAGCAAAGAUCAGGAAAACCUAUAUGGAUUUGUACUCUGAGAUGAUAAUGGUUAUCAAAUAAAAUAAGACAAAAAUUAUAUUAUUAAGAUAGUCUUUUUCUCUCUUAAUUUUGUAGUUAUUUCCUUGACCUCCAACUUAAGAAUAUCAAAGUUUCUUUUCAA